rnacentral:lncRNA from 10 species
CAGAAAGGCUUAGUUACUCUUUAGGACAAGGUGGAGGUGGGGAGAAGCCGAGGAGAGCAUUUCACUCUGCCUUUUUUUUAAUGUGCAGACAUUAAACUGGUUUCGGUGCUGACUGGCUGGAAGGAGAAAUCUAAGCAGUAAUGAGGCAGUGUUCUGAAUAUCCUUCCUCACUUAUCCUAGUGGUUCUCAGGGGCAGUGAUGGGUGUGCUCGUUAGCAGGCUCAUUCCACCAAUGCAAGAACCAGGCAAGAUCAGAGGAGGACACAGAUGAGUGGUCUCGCCCACCUGCAAGUGUGGGCUUGAAUGGUGUUGCUAUGGGACUCUGCGGCACUACGCUUGGCUAUGCUCUGACUCUCUCUGCCUAAUACUUCAUGCCAAGUUAGCUUCUUCCUGGAAUCCUGAAUCUUCCUGCUACAGGAUUUAGAGUGAGUUUAUACCUAUUAUAUUACUUCAUAUAAUUUUAAGAGAUCAUGAUAAAGAAUGAAGAUAAAUACUUGUGGCUACUCUUCUAUUUUGACCUUUGUAAUUCCUUGACUGUUACUGAAGGAACAGGAUGCUUGCUAGAAGCUAAAUCCAACCUAGCUUCUUUUUGGAUAUCUCAGGCUUCUCAAACUUUGUAUUUAUGAAACACACUUCAUUUAUCUACCCAGCUCCUAGCCCAACCUUCACCUCUUUAAAAUGCAAAUGUUUUGGAAGAGCCUGUAUAGCCAAGACAAUCCUAAGCAGUAAGAAGAAAGCUGGAGUCACCUCACUACCUGACUUCAAACUAUAUUACAAGGCUACAGUAACCAAAACA